AGUCGAGGGGCAGCGGGUUGUAGCAAUACAAUGCCGGCGACCGGCGAAAGGGUGAGUAACGCGUGAGCAACAUGCCCGGUACUGGAGGAUAGUCGAUGGAAACGUCGCGUAAUACUCCGUAACAACAGUUUUCGCAUGGGAACUGUUUGAGAGAUUUAUCGAUACCGGAUUGGCUCGCGUGCCAUUAGCUAGUUGGCGGGGUAACGGCCCACCAAGGCGACGAUGGCUAGGGGUUCUGAGAGGAAGGUCCCCCACAUUGGAACUGAGACACGGUCCAGACUCCUACGGGAGGCAGCAGUGAGGAAUAUUGGUCAAUGGCCGAGAGGCUGAACCAGCCAUGCCGCGUGCGGGAGGACGGCCCUAUGGGUUGUAAACCGCUUUUGUUGGGGAGCAAUAAGGGUCACGCGUGACCUGAUGAGAGUACCCAGCGAAUAAGCAUCGGCUAACUCCGUGCCAGCAGCCGCGGUAAUACGGAGGAUGCGAGCGUUAUCCGGAUUUAUUGGGUUUAAAGGGUGCGUAGGCGGGUUCUUAAGCGUGAGGUGAAAUGCCACGGCUCAACCGUGGAACUGCCUCGCGAACUGGGAGUCUGGAAUGCCCCUGCCGUGGG
rnacentral:rRNA from 1 species